rnacentral:rRNA from 1 species
AUGAACGCUAGCUACAGGCUUAACACAUGCAAGUCGAGGGGCAGCAUGGUCUUAGCUUGCUAAGGCCGAUGGCGACCGGCGCACGGGUGAGUAACACGUAUCCAACCUGCCGUCUACUCUUGGACAGCCUUCUGAAAGGAAGAUUAAUACAAGAUGGCAUCAUGAGUCCGCAUGUUCACAUGAUUAAAGGUAUUCCGGUAGACGAUGGGGAUGCGUUCCAUUAGAUAGUAGGCGGGGUAACAGCCCACCUAGUCUUCGAUGGAUAGGGGUUCUGAGAGGAAGGUCCCCCACAUUGGAACUGAGACACGGUCCAAACUCCUACGGGAGGCAGCAGUGAGGAAUAUUGGUCAAUGGGCGAGAGCCUGAACCAGCCAAGUAGCGUGAAGGAUGACUGCCCUAUGGGUUGUAAACUUCUUUUGUAAAGGAAUAAAGUCGGGUAUGGAUACCCGUUUGCAUGUACUUUAUGAAUAAGGAUCGGCUAACUCCGUGCCAGCAGCCGCGGUAAUACGGAGGAUCCGAGCGUUAUCCGGAUUUAUUGGGUUUAAAGGGAGCGUAGAUGGAUGUUUAAGUCAGUUGUGAAAGUUUGCGGCUCAACCGUAAAAUUGCAGUUGAUACUGGAUAUCUUGAGUGCAGUUGAGGCAGGCGGAAUUCGUGGUGUAGCGGUGAAAUGCUUAGAUAUCACGAAGAACUCCGAUUGCGAAGGCAGCCUGCUAAGCUGCAACUGACAUUGAGGCUCGAAAGUGUGGGUAUCAAACAGGAUUAGAUACCCUGGUAGUCCACACGGUAAACGAUGAAUACUCGCUGUUUGCGAUAUACUGCAAGCGGCCAAGCGAAAGCGUUAAGUAUUCCACCUGGGGAGUACGCCGGCAACGGUGAAACUCAAAGGAAUUGACGGGGGCCCGCACAAGCGGAGGAACAUGUGGUUUAAUUCGAUGAUACGCGAGGAACCUUACCCGGGCUUAAAUUGCAGAUGAAUUACGGUGAAAGCCGUAAGCCGCAAGGCAUCUGUGAAGGUGCUGCAUGGUUGUCGUCAGCUCGUGUCGUGAGAUGUUGGGUUAAGUCCCGCAACGAGCGCAACCCUUAUUGUUAGUUGCCAUCAUUUAGUUGGGCACUCUAGCAAGACUGCCGGUGACAAACCGGAGGAAGGUGGGGAUGACGUCAAAUCAGCACGGCCCUUACGUCCGGGGCUACACACGUGUUACAAUGGGGGGUACAGAGGGCCGCUACCACGCGAGUGGAUGCCAAUCCCCAAAACCUCUCUCAGUUCGGACUGGAGUCUGCAACCCGACUCCACGAAGCUGGAUUCGCUAGUAAUCGCGCAUCAGCCACGGCGCGGUGAAUACGUUCCCGGGCCUUGUACACACCGCCCGUCAAGCCAUGGGAGCCGGGGGUACCUGAAGUGCGUAACCGCGAGGAGCGCCCUAGGGUAAAACUGGUGACUGGGGCU